rnacentral:rRNA from 1 species
GACGAACGCUGGCGGCGUGCUUAACACAUGCAAGUCGAACGGACAGGCCCUGCUUUUGUGGGGUGCUCGAGUGGCGAACGGGUGAGUAACACGUGAGUAACCUGCCCUUGACUUUGGGAUAACUUCAGGAAACUGGGGCUAAUACCGGAUAGGAGCUCCUGCUGCAUGGUGGGGGUUGGAAAGUUUCGGCGGUUGGGGCUGGACUCGCGGCUUAUCAGCUUGUUGGUGGGGUAGUGGCUUACCAAGGCUUUGACGGGUAGCCGGCCUGAGAGGGUGACCGGCCACAUUGGGACUGAGAUACGGCCCAGUCUCCUACGGGAGGCAGCAGUGGGGAAUAUUGCACAACGGGCGGAAGCCUGAUGCAGCAACGCCGCGUGCGGGAUGACGGCCUUCGGGUUGUAAACCGCUUUCGCCGGUGACGAAGCGUGAGUGACGGUAAUGGGUAAGGAAGCAACGGCUAACUACGUG